AACCGCCGGCGGCUGUGCGCGGUUCCCCUCCCCAGCGUGGCGCUCUUCAGCAUCUCCGCCCACCCCGAGGGCGCCGGCCUCCACAACGUCUUCAGCUCAUCCCGGACAGUGAGGUGAGUAGUCUCCAACAGCGGGCGCCAGAUGGUGGCUUCUUUGGGGGCAAGCUCCCAGUGCAUGCUCAUAGGUGAAAAAUACUUGGGGAUCAGUAUUUGCUGUUUUUCCAAGGUGGAAUCAUCAUAUAUCCUCCUUUGUUAGUUUUCUGUUAUGCUUCCGAGUUGUAUGACUAGAUCAUUAGUAACAGAUUCUGUAAGUUGUUCUGUAUGCAAGAUGGUGGCAGAGUGAGUAUGCUCUUUCAGAUUUUGCCUCUUGCAUGCAAGAUGGAUCGGCAUUCUGGCUUAAUCUUUGAUAUCUGUUGUUGUUGGUUCUUUUCGAAAUGGAACUUCAGUAUCACACAAUGCAGUAAGACCCGAUGGACCACCGUCCUGGUCCUUUCAAAAUUGUGAUGGUGGAUCACACAGGAAGUUGCUCUGCAUUGGGAAAAGGAAGAAGCAAGAGCUAGGGUGCCCUCUCCGCUCCUGCUUGGCGUGUUAAAUGGAGUUGCAGGUCUCACUUGAAUGAAACAUUGGUUUGAUAUUCAUAUCUCAUUGUCGGGUUCAUUGACUACAAGCUCUCUGCCUCUCAUUGCACCUGCUGAUUAUGGUCUUGCAAGUUUAAAAUGCAUGCUGGCUUGCUGAGUAAUAGUGCAGUGAAAUGAAUUCCUUGAGAUUAUAUGUUCUGGAAUUUAUGGAGUGCUGUAAUAUUGUAGUUCUUAUGUGACAAGGAUAAAUAGUUUCUCAACAUAUGAUGUAAGAGCCCUUCUGGUUAUAGUAAACACGAUUCAGUAAAAAUAGUGGCCCUUCAUUCCUGAACUUUUCUCUGGAUGCAGGUGCUAGAUAUACUCUAAUUGAUAGUGCAUAUUUAUUUUAGAAUCCGAAGAUAGUUGUCGUGGCACACUUCAUGUCUGCAAGUUUACUAAAGGCAGUAAGAUUACCUUAUUGUCACCACAACGGAAGUGAAUCCUCGCCAACAGAUCUGACACCUCCUGUUUGGUAGUAGAAUAGCGUCAUAGGCUUAGUGAGCUGGACAUGUCCAUUCAAUCAUUUCAUUUUAGUAUACAUGCAAUUAUCUAUUCCUCAUUACAAAAGGAACUGAUCAAAUUGAUGAUUUUGGCAGUAGCUAUUUCUUUAAGUGAUGGAUGCAUGGCAUAGUUACUAUUUACAAAAUCAUUCACUACAAUAUCCUGUUCGUAAUAAUUUUGUCCUAAUACGCUGGGCUGAAUGCACCUACUUUCACUCUUUAUAACAAGGGUGGUCUGAAGUCUCUACUUGACUACUCGAUGCAAGUUUCGGUUACUGUUUACAAUCAUUCAGUAAUAUUUCAAUAUCCCGUUCAUAGGGAUUUUGUCCUAAUACUCUUGACUGAAUGCAGCUGCUUUUGCUCUUUACAGCCACAACAACCAACGUGGCAAUUUGCAAAUCUGAUUGCAUGAAUUAUGAGGAUGAUCCUGUUGUACACAUGUUAAUUGGAUCGAAUUGACGUUCGUGACGUACAUCGGAGCUUAUAGAAGAAGACAUCAGCCAGCAGGGUUGGGAGUGAUAUGUUAUGGAUUAUGGGAGUGAUAUGAAUGCCCGGCAACAAUCUUUGUUUCUCCAUGACUCUGGUUGGGAAGUUGUGAGUGUGUAUAUCACCAUGUUAUAUGUGCCACACCAUCAUUAUUUAUGAAAUUGGCAUCUUUCCUAUUUAGAAAAGAUGUGCUCUUUCUGCAAACUAGAUUCUGUUCAACUAUGUAUUCAUCAAGGCAGUAAGCUUCACUUUCUCCCUAAGGUAUGUGGGUUUCCCUUAUAGAGCUGUUAUCUCCAGAGAACAUUCCGUGGAUAGAGAAAGGGGUUUAUGAGAUUGACAAUUGCAUGUUUAGACUAUCCAACCUAGCAGGGAUAGAAGUUUGAAUACUCUGGACUUGUAUUUUUUUUUUUGGUUAGGAACAACACUAGCAUAGUAAUUAAUGUCGAUAGUCCAAAAAUAAUGUUGACAUAGUGAAUGGCUUGCGUCAUAUGAGAAAUUUAUUUGGUAACUACAUCGUCGUGCCACAUGGAUUGGAUGUCAACGGUAGUCAUCUCACCCAGUACACCUUUUGCAAUAAUAAUCACAGCAAAUCAAAAUUUUGUUGUGCUGUCUAUGUAUCUAACUGGCUGUGAUCGGAGUUAGAUCAUUUUCUGGUAGAAGGAAAGACAUGAUCUUAUCGGUAACUUUAGGCAGUAGGAAUCAUUGGAUCAUUUUGCAUUAAUGAUGUUAGCUUUUGGGGAGGCAAUUGUUUUGCAGUGCAUCCCUUUCCUAAGCAGAGCGAAAUUUAUCUGACAUGUAAUGCAUUCAGAUUGUGGUGUUGCUUACAUUUUCAGCUUGUAGCCGAGGACUGGAAUAGGCUGAGAAUCCUGAGCCGCGGAGGAAAGCGGGUUAAUUAGAUACACCAAGACUGCAACUGUUAUCUAUGGAUGAAAUAACCAAACUAACUCGCAAGAAAAUAGUCUCCAUGGUCUGAAUGUCCAAACAGCGACCACAUAUAUGCUUUUGCUCUUAUUGGCAGGGCUUCAGGAGACAGGAGCCUUGAUGCGCUGAAGAGAGGGGCUGUGCUGCUGAGGACCAAUUCUGUGGAUCUGAUGUGAGUCUGUGGAGAUGCUGCUAGCGACAACCCUACGGUAACGAAGUGAAGGUUUUGCUGUUGCUGCAUUUGGCUCGGUCUGUGUGUCUUGGGGGUGUCCUUUGCGAUCAUCCUGGUUACCUUUCCGUAUGUAAUGAAGUGGUUGUGAUACUGUGGUUCCAGUUAUGCCUUUUGCCUUUCCAGCUAUACUGUGAUUUUAUUUUUUUUGGCGAAACAGUUAUACUGUGAUUAGAGCUUUGACAUAUGUAGGGGGCUGGUAGGAUCUCCUCGGUCUUGCUGAAGUGCGCUUGUGUUGUUGUUGUCAAGCCCGAGGGCCUGACCUUCUUUCUAUUUUUUCUGUUACCUGCUGCCCCUCCUGUAUGAGGUGGAGUUUUGUUCAGUUCUGUGGUCAUUAGCAUGUGUGCUUCGAUGAAAAGAAAACCAUGCGUAGAUGUUGGCUGGGGUGAAUCUAUGUCGUGAUUAUUUUUAUUAAUUUGAGAAAUUUGAAUUCUAGUCGCCGGCCUCGCUCCUCGCAGCAGCAUCACCCCGUUUGCAACUUCGCCCUCACUGCUCGC